rnacentral:rRNA from 1 species
GUAGCACAGAGAGCUUGCUCUCGGGUGACGAGUGGCGGACGGGUGAGUAAUGUCUGGGAAACUGCCUGAUGGAGGGGGAUAACUACUGGAAACGGUAGCUAAUACCGCAUAACGUCGCAAGACCAAAGAGGGGGACCUUCGGGCCUCUUGCCAUCAGAUGUGCCCAGAUGGGAUUAGCUAGUAGGUGGGGUAACGGCUCACCUAGGCGACGAUCCCUAGCUGGUCUGAGAGGAUGACCAGCCACACUGGAACUGAGACACGGUCCAGACUCCUACGGGAGGCAGCAGUGGGGAAUAUUGCACAAUGGGCGCAAGCCUGAUGCAGCCAUGCCGCGUGUAUGAAGAAGGCCUUCGGGUUGUAAAGUACUUUCAGCGGGGAGGAAGGUGUUGUGGUUAAUAACCACAGCAAUUGACGUUACCCGCAGAAGAAGCACCGGCUAACUCCGUGCCAGCAGCCGCGGUAAUACGGAGGGUGCAAGCGUUAAUCGGAAUUACUGGGCGUAAAGCGCACGCAGGCGGUCUGUCAAGUCGGAUGUGAAAUCCCCGGGCUCAACCUGGGAACUGCAUUCGAAACUGGCAGGCUAGAGUCUUGUAGAGGGGGGUAGAAUUCCAGGUGUAGCGGUGAAAUGCGUAGAGAUCUGGAGGAAUACCGGUGGCGAAGGCGGCCCCCUGGACAAAGACUG